GGCUGACGCACGGGGGAGUAGAUCUUUCUAUAAAAAGAAACCCACUAGCACAACCUCUCCUCCUCGAUGCCUACACACGUACGGCACCGCCGCCGCCAUCGCCACCGCACGCGCGGCCGGUCAUCUUCCGCGGUCGUCUAUCGCCCUAUCUCCUUGCCCUCUGCACCUGCCCCCGUCUUCUUCGGCGCCACUCUGAGCCUCCUCGGUCUUCAACCUCCUGCAAUCUUCAAGCUCGCGGCACCCAAUCCGAGCAACCAGCCGUCAAUUCGAGCGACCCUCGUUAGGAAUCCAUGGAAUUUAAGGUGGAUUUCCUGGAAGAGGGAGGAGAAAGGAUGAUGGUGGGGUUCAUGGGGAAGAGGAGUCUACUAUCCGCGACUCUCUCCCUCAGGGGAACAUCGCAGAUUUGACUAGGAGCUCUCAAGCACGAGAUCCCCUGGGCGUCUCAUCUGUCCUUGCAGGCAUGUGUUCUUCCUCCUCUUAUGAGAUCAUCAUGUGCAAAUAUGCUAGAGUUGUACUCCCUCUGUAAACUAAUUGUGAUCUAAAAGAUCUUAUAUUAGUUUACAAAUAUAGUACAUAAUAUCUUGCAAGGCCUGACUAAUAAGUAGUUGUGGCUUAAGAUGCUUCUGGAGACUAAUUGAAAUGGUGGAAUUCAAUUGGACUACCAUAUGAGCAUAAUAGACUAUGAACAUAAUAGACUAUGAGCAUCAUUCAGAUUAUAAUGAAUGAGAAGUGAAGGUCCGAAUGUCAAACAAAAAAAUACAGUGCUAAAUAUUCAGUCAAGGAAUAGGAAGAAGUAUAUAUAUAUCUUCUCAUGUAUAUUACGAAGAAAUUCUUCACAUGUUUUGCUUUUUCAUACUAGGUUCAAGGUGAUCAGGUACGGCUCAUGGGCUGCUACAACUAUUAGUGGGACAAAAGGGUUGUGCAUGCACAUGCUUAUUGAUUGAAGGCAUAAUUAUGGGAGAUGGUGCAUGGUCUAGAUGAAUAGAUGGAACCCGUCCAGAGAAAAGAAAAAGAAGAAUAAGAAGAAAAUUGUUCUUCGUAAACAAGUACUCCCUCCAUCCCACUUAUGUUGGGACGGAAUACAUAUUACAUCAUAUGUAACCGGAGAAUGGCGGCAUGUCAAGAUCAGGCAAGAACUCUGAUGCCUGUGUGCACUUGCUGAACAUAGAUGAUUGUGAUGGCCUUAUUCCUUGGAUGUGUAGGGAGCUUCAACCUGAUUAGUGCUGAUUUGGGGAGUAAAGCUCUUCGAGCAAGUGACAAAUCAUGUCUUUUGAGCAUCUCAAAGAUGGACGACCUAGAGUCAUUUGACUGGCAGCUUAAAAGCAAUUAAAGUGAACAGAGGAAUCAAACUUUAAAGCCACUCUUGCCAUUUGUGGACUGUUCCUGCUUGUUGGUGACUGCUUUUGCGAGUAUGUUCACUCUCAUCUAGCGAUGAAAUAUUUUGUUUCUAUUGUGUAGCUGCUGAAAGGGCAAACCCCGGAUCCUAGAUAUUUGUGGGUUCUGGGUGCCCUCUAGGGUUACCUGGAUGUUCCUAUUUCUGUUUUCUUCUUCCCUUUUUAGUUUUCUUCAUGCUGUAGAUGAACUUUUGGUUUCUGUUAAUAGAAUUCACAGAGGAGGUUCUCUUUUAGAAAAUCUAAUGAGGGGGAGACUGAAUGACCGAGUGUAGAUGACACUGACCAAGUUUAUUAGUAUGUGAUCCUACAUAUCGCUCCAUUAAUUAGAUAAUUCCUGUAUGCUUAACUGUUUCCUCGCUCAGUCCAAUAACGAUGACAGAUCCGAGGGUAUCCUUUGUAGCUGAAGGAAAAGAGGUAUGCAAGGGUGUAUUCCAUAUACUGUUCUAUCUUUGUGUCAUUAUAACAUAUAUAUUCCCUUAGUGCUUAAAAUGUUCUCAUGGCCAGUAUGUUCACGACGAAGAUGGAUACUCUCAUUAUAUUACAUAAUUGAUAUUUAGCAAGUGCUAUCCGGUGCUUAUCACACACGUACAUGAGUAGUCAAGUGUACCUUUACGUAGUAGCAAGUAUUUUUGGUAAUCACUAUUGGUUUAGGUCUCGUGAAUCAAAUAACGGACCAUGAUUGAGCAGACAAUAUCAAAUUUGAUGAGACAGCAAUCCACACGAAGCAACAACUGAGGAGGCAUACGUGCUGACAGCAACGCGGCAUGAGGAGCGACACGGGAGGCUAGAAGAAAAGGUUGGGGUAGAGCUUGCAUGGCAAACACGUUGACUCACAACAUGGCUGCUCAGGCGAUAUCAAGCCGGAGGUUGAUCAAAUAGAAGGGGGAUUUGCGCUGGUCGACGCCAACGCCGUAUAUGUUGCGAUGUCGUUAUUGGGUUAAAUACAUGUGAUAUUUUUUCCCCGUUACAAUGCAUGGGUAUAUUUACUAGCAAUAUCUUUUUUAAGAAAAAGGAUAAACUCUUCCCAAACAAACAACCAACUAUCUGUAGAAAAAUUUGACAUAGUAAAAUAGUUUAAAAAUGUUCACAAUUUUACAUAUGUUUACACUUAAAAAAAUGUUCACUUAUAAAAAUGUUCAAAAUUCCUAAAAAGGUUCCAAUUUUUCAAAAAAAUAUUUUCAUUUUAAAAUGUACAAAAACUUAAAAUAAUCAAAAUUUCUUUUUUAAAAAAUACAUCUGUUCAAAAAAAAAGUUCCUCAAAAAAAUGAUCCAAUUUCUGUAAAAACAUUAUCUUUCCUUAAAAGUGUCCCAAUUUUUGUGAUUUUUAUUAAAAAUAAGGAAAUUUUUGCAUUUUCUCGAAUAGUAAAAAAUAAAACCGAUGGACAACUAUUCCAUCCAGAUGGACAACUAUUCCAUCCAAAACUACUCUUUCAUCAGACAAAGAAUGCUAAGUUGCUUCCUCAUGUCCAAACUUCAUCCUACAAAAAGCAAUGAUCGGUGUAACCUUAUUAUUGAUGUUUAUUAAAAUUAAAUAUAAAAAAUGGCGCAUAAAGCAGGUUGUACGCCUUUUUUCGCCCGGUGCAAUGCACGGGCAUUUGUACUAGUCUUUUCCUAAUCUCUCUCUAAUUAAUUAAUAAUGAAAUACAGAUUGACUCCGCGGGUUCACCGUCACAAUACGCUUCUUCUUAUAAGUUUACGUUUUCACUUUGAAUUUAAAACAUGUCGGGUUCACCGUCGCGCCCUUUUACACGAAGAUCCCUGUGGUUUUUGUCAUUGAACCCGCAGUCUAAUACGAACCGGUACGCCCGAGAGAAAGGAAAGAAAAUCACCCCCUCCCACCGCACGCCCUGCCUCCCAAUCUCCACGCCCCUCACCGCGCGCCGCCACCGCCCACCCUGCCACCUUCUGGAUCGGAUCAACGCGUCGGCUCGAGCAUUUGGGCGCCUCGCCGGUGACGACGAGGAAGGCCGGAGCUAGGGAUCCGGCGACCUAGGCAGGAGCUCGCCGGAGCUGGGCGACGGCGGACGGGCGCGACGGACGGAUCUGGCGCGGCGGCGCAAAUUCCUUGCAGGUAGAGGCGGGUCUCCAUGGCUGGCAGGGAGAGCUCCAAGCCAUGGCGGGGCUUCAGUUUUUCCUGGUAGAAAAGAGAGAAAGAGGAGGAUUCAUUAUGUCGGUAUUAUUUUCUGAAUUUAUUUUUUGAUGGUAUGUUAUAUGAUCCAUCUUAAUCAGGUCACCUGGAGCCGGCUUGUUUUUCUCAUGUGUGGUUGAUCCAUGUUCCACCCAAUCGAUGGUCUAUUGUUGUUAUCUUUUCUAAAUUGAUUGAUGAUGUUGCCGUUGCUCAAACCAGCAGAGAAGCAUAUUUCACCAAAUUAUUCUUGCAAUUCAGAGUUUGGUUAAACCUGACACAACACCUCUCUGUGUUAGAGCUAGCUGAGUCGGGCAUAUUUCUGUUAUACAGGCAGUGUAUUGAUGUUAUAAGUGAGGCAGUUCUGUAAUUGUAGGUGAUGCAGUUCUGCUAUCAAUUUCUCCACCGGCUAAAACAAUGCGAACAGCUUGUCUGCCCAUGAAUUUUGCCUGAGUCGAUGCUACUCCAUUGCCAACAGCUUAUAGAAGUUUACUGAUUUAAUCUUGGUGUGUACUACUAUUGGUUUCUUUAUUCGUUAAGAAAUCGCAUAUGCCAUGGCUUUCACCUUUCAGUACUAUGCAUCUUUCGUGAUGAUCUUUUUUCUUGCAUUCUGUCGUGGCUAAUUUUUAGUAUCUCUCACAUUAACUGAAACAUAUACAUUUUGAGUGUGUCUUAAUUUAAACAAAUGCAGAACAAAUGUGGAAGUCUGGCCGAUUUAAUUUUAGAUCUAAGCAUUUUAAUUUUACUUCUAUGGUACAGAUGUAUUUGCUACAAUUUUAAUUAAGGUAUCCCAAUUUUAAUAUAUGCAUCAUCAAUUAUAAUCUUUUUCACUUUUUGAACUUACCAAUCUAUUCUUUGUACUACCAAGAUUCAAGCAACGCAAGGAAAGGAUCAUGUCAUGUCGUAGCGGUGCGCAGCCAGCGCAUAGCGUGAUUGCUGCGAACUCCACAUUUCGCCACUGACGCCAGUUGCCACCUGAUCAACCAACACUCGCCCCAUCUGGCACCGCACCGUCGAGAUGGACAUCCCCGUCCUCACAUUCGAUGCCGCAUGCAGGGCAAGAAGGGAUUCUUUGCAAUUACGGUCAUAGCCUUUGUCAUCGACAUUGGCGGGAUUUGCCCAGGCUGUCGGUGCCCGAAGGUGAAUGCUCUCGCCAAUCAACAGUAAGCCCAUCUGGUCUCGCAUCUCCGUCACCAUGGCUAGCCGCUAGCACAGACCAUGAUGUUACAGCAUUCAGCGGUGUGGAUGGAGAGUCUUUUACAAUGACAUUUCUUCUAAUUUGAGCGAUGAAUGCAGACCAUGGCCGUCCGAAACAUCGUGAGACACGGCAGUGGGGCAGCUAAUGCUCAUUGACGCUAACUAAAAUAUAUGUUAAUUCUCAGUCACUGAGGUUAACAGAGUACAAUUUCUGCUCACAUUAUGUUAUCCCUUCAUGGUCUGUCAUUAAUGAAUAUUUUUCCAUUUCAUUACAUAAUCUUUGACCACAAUGCAUUCUACUAUCACAACUAGACCACUGGUGCUUCAGUUUUUUUUAUCAAGGCAAUUCAGUUAUUGUAAUGCACAACAGCACAAACGGGUGAGUUUACAUAGAGAUAUGUAAGGUUCAGCUACCCGCAUAAAAAAAUGAAAGGCUCAGCUGUGGAGCUAAAAGAUUGGAGUUGUAGGGAAUAACUAACGACGGAGGCCCUCAAGUCUAGCUCAAUAAGACAAGUUUUAAUUAACCUUAAGAAUUCUCAAAACCACGGGAGAAGAGGAGCUGCAGAUCAGGGUGUAUGUGAUAUCCCUACAAGAUUGCUUCAACAUUCAUGCAGCUACGCUUCUUGCAGCUUUUUACAGAAUGGCAGGCAAUGCAAUUACAUGUUUGUGAUGCUUUGUUCCUACCGUGUUUUCUCUUUCAUCUCAGUAGAGAUUCAAAAUCAAAACAAUGUCAUUCAUGUUUUCACUGAAAUUACAAAUCACUCCCUGACCCAUUCAUGUAUGUUUGUAUCCGCAAGCUAGCAUGCUUCUGCCAGCAGAUGGGCUCCAUGGCACUACAUCUAUAUUAUAUUGGAAUGAUGUGUUGACCGAUUCGUAGAUGGUUUGUGGUAUAAUCAUAUAAAGAGUGUCGCAUCACUUUUCUAGCUCUAUGCUCUCUUCUAUACAGGGGGUCACUGGUCCUCAGUCUAAUGUACAAAAAGUUAGUUUACCAUAAUUCAAUGACAGUACAUAUUUACCGUUGUUUAUUGCAUAUGAUAUUUCUCAAUUACAUUUCUCAACGUGAUAUUUGCAGGUUAAUUAUUACCCAAUCGACCUACUUUUGUUGUAUUUUUUUAUUCACUUUGUUCAAAUUUAUUUAAUGUCCAAUGCUAUAUUAUGUGCAUCUCUUAACCAAACAGACAUGAUGGUCAAUGCGCUGAACUUGCAUGAAAAUCCAUGGCUUUUCGGUCUAUCCUUUGUAGAUGCUGCUAUGUUUAGCGGCAUUCUCCUAAUGAUCUUUUCCGACAUGUCCAUGUGCAGGCUGUUUGAUGCAUGCAUUGCUAUGAGCUAAGGAUUGACAAAAUACCAGUAGCAUACUGCAACGUCUCAUUAGCUCUUCCCAAAUUAUCCUAUAGACUUAAAUGAUUGCUAGCGUUGUAUCAUUAUCAGUCUGAAGAUUGUUUGUUUUGUUUUGUUUUGUUUUGUUUACUCAAGAUGAAUAGAGUUAAUGUUGUUGACCGAUUGAUUUUCCUCCUGGUAAAUCCGUUGAUUUUCCUCCUGGUAAAUCCAUGACUAAUUCUAUCACAAUCUUUUCUUCAUUAUCUUCAUUAUUUUUAUCUAAUGUUCCCUUACAGUGAAAUUCUUAGUAUCUCCGGUGUGUCUGAUGUCGACAAAUCUGUCUCCUUUAAAGGAUGCCAUUGGCGCUUGAAGUUAAAUGGAACAAGCUCAAUCUUAACUUUUUCAUAUGUGGGGAACAUAUCUUCUAUUAAGGACGUGUGCUCAAUAAAUCACUCCAUGGAACAAGAAAGUACAGGUUAGAUCUUGUGCCUUUCUUUCUGAUAUUAAUUGUCCCCUUUUCUUUUCGGGCUGAUAAUAUAGCUAAUAUGUUCUACCUUGAACUAAAUACUGUUUCAGAUCUUACGUUCUUCAAUAAAUUAUCAACAUGGUAAUGACAUGUUACUUAUAUACUACAGCUUCGAAAACAUGUUCUUUUAAGUACAUCUGGUAUAUUUUAAAUCAUUAGGAAAUGAAUUGAUCCAAAAUGCAUAGUGCAUCUUUUUAGUUCGGUAAUUUUGGAUGUUAGGUGGCAUAAGUAGUGCCCCUGUUAGUUUGUCGGGUUAAGUGAAAUUUUUUGUGAUGCUUCCCAUAGUUCUUUGCCUUCAUGAAACAACAUAUGGGUGAGGCAAUAUAUUUUCCUGUCUAUAUAUCGGCGUCUCUAUUUUUAAAAAUUGGCAUUGAGGAUCCCUUUUACAUGUUUUUUCUACACCCUGCUGGGAGCUGAAUUGCCUUUCCUAUAUAUGAACCGAUGGCAAGACAUUCAAAGCACGGUUCCUCGCAUCUGAGCGACAGUUUUUAUGCCCUAUGCCCUUGUCCGUCUCACAUAUCUACCUUAUAUCUACAGGAAAAUAUAUCUUUUCUUUCUAGUGCUAAGGCAAUCUAUCUACACGUAAUCUAUGGAUUCUUUGUAGUUCAAAUGGACUAAUCUAUAUAUUAUUUAUGCAGUACUGUUUAUUCAGUUAAAGGUGCCCUUUUCUAGAGAGUGAAAACGGGUGUAGGGCAGGCUAUAUGGGUAGACCACCAAAAUAGUUAUGUAGUUGUAGUUGGCUAGCAAUAGCUUAUAUCCCUAAUUAUAUUCGGUUUUCUGGUUGUACGCAAUUUGCUUUCCUCGUAGGCAGAAGUAAUGGCUGAGCUAAGUUAAUGGCUACAUGUUCCAGAACAAAUUGGAUCUGCAGUGUGUAGAUCGAUUGAUGAUAUUUAUCCUACUUUUAGAGAAAGGACUAAGCCCAACUUUUAAUACAAAGCUUUGAAAUAUUCUGAUAUUGCUGGGCCAGAAGCGAACAAGUGGCAUGCAUGGUGAACUGUCGCUAACUUCAGAAGAUGGUAAGGUUGCAUAUGGCUGGAGCAACCUUCUCUUCAAAUUCUCGGAAUUAUUUACCCUUUUUCUCUGUAGUUUCUAUCUUCAAAUUCUCUUAAUUAUUCUUCACCCAUUUUUUCCCAUGCAGUUUCCAUCCUUCUGAAAGCUCCUUUUGUUCUGUAUGAGCCUAACCUGAAAAUAUAUACGGUUAUAUAUUGUCAGUAUUUUCCUUUUCCAUGCCUCAUGGUUAUUCGCCUCUGUUAGCUAGAUGAAUGUGCUUCAGUUAUAGGAAUUGCAUGCCUUCUACGAUUAUAUUGUUGUUAUUGGCUUGCGAAACAUGCAUAAGACUGUACCUAUGGAUAAAAAUUACCCUACAAACUCCAACAUUGAAAAUACAGACUGGCUGGCAUGAAAGUUUGAGAAAUGCAGCAAGUGAAUGACUUUGAUUUGCACAUUCGAGUGCAUGAUAUAGUAGAGCUGGAGGUGUAGCAGCUGUAUGAGGGAUAUCAGGUGUCCUCUACUGCAUGUGAGGCUGUUUAUUUCCUUCAUGUCAUUCAACUUUGUCACCGGGGCCUCUUACGCCUACUCACUAGUUUUAGGAAUUCAAGUCUUCAACAGGAAAAAAAUCGGAUGCACACUGUGGACAAUCAUGGAGAGCUGAUAUAGAUGACGGUUCAUAACAGUUACUAUUAUUAUCCUAUUUUGCCAUAUUUUACAUUCUCAUAUAAUUUUGUGUGUGAGCCGGUAAAGAAAAUAGACCAAGAUCUACCAGUCACUCAUACAGAUGCUUCGCUAUUUGAGAACCACUCGACCAAGCAUUCAGCUUAAUUUUGUUCUUAGAUCUAUUUGUCAUUUGAUGAGUGACUUGGAAGUCUUUAGGCUAUCCAUGGCAAGCAAACCGGCACAUAUAUCAUGUUGAUUCCAUGGUAUUUUUAUAACAGCAUUUAGGUGGACCUCUAACUUAUACUUUGUAAUAUGCUCAACAUGUACAUGCAUGAAUAUGUAUUUGGGUGGCCGUCUUGAUGUCCCUGGGGCCUUGAGAUCCUUGCCGCCCCCACAUUGAAAGACAGGCACAUCUGCUCCACGCCUCCACCAUGGUCACACGUUCUUCCGUGUAGUACUACUUUCAAUGUCUUGAGACGCUGAUGUCCAUCGCAAACGACGACUGCAGCAGCAGCUCCGUGUUAGAUACAUCCGUAUCUAAAUAAAUUUAAGACAAGAAUUUUGAGACGGAGGGAGUACUAGGAUCUUAUUUACACCAACUCUACACCAUCCUAUUGGCAUGUUUAUAAACAAAGGAAACUGCUUUGUUCAUAACUUUACACCAACCUAUUGGCAUGUAUAUUAGCAGCAAUGUAACUUAAAUGAACAACUCUAGCAUAUUAAUUAAAAUUCCUUGCACAAUACUUCUCAGUUUCUCAGGUUUAAGAACAAUCUAUAGCACAUUUAAUCUCUCCAGUUAGUAGUCGUGCUUUCCUAUUUAGAUAUUUAUUUUGUGCUCUUGACCUUUACUCCACAUUAAUAUAACCUGACUUUAAAAUAUAUUUUUAAAGUUGAUUAUAAAUUAUUUUGUUGGAUAGUAUAUCAUCUUCAUUCCAUUGGAUUACAUUACCAUCCCCCGGUUACAUGAAUAAGCAAAUGUAGCUAUGUCUAAGAUUCCAGAUUCGGAUUGCAAGGUCCUUUUAGAAUCUGCAAAGUAAUUUAUUUUAUCACUUUGUUCUAUCAACUUUGGUAAUCGCUUACUAUUCAUCUGCAGGUGAACUUGCCUAUUUUUAGAAAAGUCACUUUAUUGUGAAGUUUGAUUAUUCUUCUAUUUGGGGUUGGCCUAAUAGUCGGUUGUCCAUAUAAGGUCACAUGUACAUUAUUUGUCGGAUAUUAUAUGGUUCCAGUUCUCA